GUGCCAGCCGCCGCGGUAAUACGUAGGGUGCGAGCGUUAAUCGGAAUUACUGGGCGUAAAGCGUGCGCAGGCGGUUUCGUAAGUCAGAUGUGAAAGCCCCGGGCUUAACCUGGGAAUUGCGUUUGAAACUGCGAGGCUAGAGUGUGGCAGAGGGGGGUAGAAUUCCACGUGUAGCAGUGAAAUGCGUAGAGAUGUGGAGGAAUACCGAUGGCGAAGGCAGCCCCCUGGGCUAACACUGACGCUCAUGCACGAAAGCGUGGGGAGCAAACAGGAUUAGAAACCCGCGUAGUCC
rnacentral:rRNA from 1 species